GUGGCGAACGGUCGCGUAACACGUAAGCAACCUGCCCUGAAGUGGGGGACAACAUCCCGAAAGGGGUGCUAAUACCGCAUGUGGUCACGAGUCGGCAUCGACUUGUGUCUAAAGAUUUAUCGCUUCAGGAUGGGCUUGCGGCCUAUCAGGUAGUUGGUGGGGUAAUGGCCUACCAAGCCGACGACGGGUAGCUGGUCUGAGAGGACGAUCAGCCGGAUUGGGACUGAGAUACGGCCCAGACUCCUACGGGGGGCAGCAAUUAGGAAUCUUGCGCAAUGGGGGAAACCCUGACGCAGCGACGUCGCGUGAAGGAUGAAGGCCCUCGGGUCGUAAACUUCUUUUGAGUGGGAAGAAAUUUGACGGUACCACUCGAAUAAGCCCCGGCUAACUACGUGCCAGCAGCCGCGGUAAUACGUAGGGGGCGAGCGUUGUCCGAAGUUACUGGGCGUAAAGCGCGCGUAGGCGGUUAUUUAAGUCUGGGGUGAAAGGUUCAGCGCUCAACGUGAACAGUGCCUUGGAUACUGGAUGACUUGAGUCUGGGAGGGGGAAGGGGAAUUCCUGGUGUAGCGGUGAAAUGCGUAGAUAUCAGGAGGAACACCGGUGGCGAAGGCGCCUUCCUGGCCUAAGACUGACGCUGAGGUGCGAAAGCGUGAGGAGCAAACGGGAUUAGAUACCCCGGUAGUCCACGCCGUAAACGAUG
rnacentral:rRNA from 1 species